CACGGUCCGGACUCCUACGGGAGGCAGCAGUGGGGAAUAUUGGACAAUGGGCGAAAGCCUGAUCCAGCGACGCCGCGUGGGUGAAGAAGGCCUGCGGGUUGUAAAGCCCUUUCGGUUGGGAAGAACAGUGUUGACCUAAUACGUCAGCACCUUGACGUAACCAACAAAAGAAGCACCGGCUAACUCUGUGCCAGCAGCCGCGGUAAUACAGAGGGUGCGAGCGUUAAUCGGAAUUACUGGGCGUAAAGCGCACGUAGGCGGCUUGAUAAGUCGAGUGUGAAAUCCCCGGGCUUAACCUGGGACCUGCAUUCGAAACUGUCUUGCUAGAGUAUGGGAGAGGGUAGUGGAAUUUCAGGUGUAGCGGUGAAAUGCGUAGAUAUCUGAAGGAACAUCAGUGGCGAAAGCGACUGCCUGGACCAAUACUGACGCUCAGGUGCGAAAGCGUGGGGAGCAAACAGGAUUAGAUACCCUGGUAGUCCACGCCAUAAACUAUGAGAACUGGAUGUCGGAAGCAUUAGGCUUUCGGUGUCGUAGCUAACGCGUUAAGUUCUCCGCC
rnacentral:rRNA from 1 species